CGUAGGGGGCAAGCGUUGUCCGGAUUUAUUGGGCGUAAAGCGCUCGCAGGUGGUCCGUCGCGUCGUGCGUGAAAGCCCCCGGCUCAACUGGGGAGUGUCGUGCGAUACGGGCGGGCUGGAGGCCAGUAGGGGGAUGCGGAAUUCCGGGUGUAGUGGUGGAAUGCGUAGAGAUCCGGAGGAACACCAGCGGCGAAGGCGGCAUCCUGGACUGGUCCUGACACUCAUGAGCGAAAGCGUGGGGAGCGAUCCGGGUUAGAUACCCGGGUAGUCCACGCCGUAAACGAUGCGCACUAGGUGUCGGGGGUAUCGACCCCCUCGGUGCCGCAGCUAACGCGAUAAGUGCGCCGCCUGGGGACUACGGCCGCAAGGCUA
rnacentral:rRNA from 1 species